rnacentral:rRNA from 1 species
GUAGGGAGCGAGCGUUAUCCGGAAUUAUUGGGUGUAAAGCGUGUGUAGGCGGGAAAUUAAGUCUAAGGUCUAAGCCCGGAGCUCAACUCCGGUUCGCCUUAGAAACUGAUUUUCUUGAGUGUGGUAGAGGCAAACGGAAUUUCUAGUGUAGCGGUAAAAUGCGUAGAUAUUAGAAGGAACACCAGUGGCGAAGGCGGUUUGCUGGGUCACUACUGACGCUGAGACACGAAAGCGUGGGGAGC